AGAAACACCCCACCCCACCUUAUCCUCUCGGAACCCACCCGGCCAACUCCUCUCUCUCCCCCGUCCUCCACCAUCGCACACUCUUCCCCCAGAUCGGCACACCAGCACCUCCCUGUGCCACCACACGACCUCUCUCCCUGCACAAACUCCUCCCCGCGCCGCCGCACGAGCCCCCCCCCCCCCCCCCCCCCUCCCCCGUCCUCCACCAUCGCACACUCUUCCCCCAGAUCGGCACACCAGCACCUCCCUGUGCCACCACACGACCUCUCUCCCUGCACAAACUCCUCCCCGCGCCGCCGCACGAGCUCCUCCUUGUGUCGCUGGACGAAUCCUCUUCCCCCGGGUCGGUGCACCAACACCUCCCCGCACCGCCGCACGAGCUCCUCACCACCUCGCGCGCCCGGGAAAUAGCACCCUCCCCUCAUUGCGCGCGGAGAAAAGCCUCAACCACGUCAGAUCCGGCGACCCGAGGUACGAAUCCAUCGAUUCAACCCCGGAUCUAGUGACAGGCGUGCUCUCUGUGGGCGGAGGAUCACCUCCCUCCACUCCCCUUCGGGUGCGGUCGCCACGAGCCAGUGCCACCCUGUCCAGUCGCCGCGUUUUAACGCCCACCCCAUUUCCCUGCCCCUGCCACCUUCAUCUCCCCUCUCGGCCGUUGCGCCCAACCCACCACCGCCUCACCCCAACACCGGACAUGCGCCUCAGUGGUCGCUAGACUGGUGCCAGAUCCAUCGCCCCUGCCUAGCGCACCCCAAAUGCGCGAGCUGCAGGAGGGCCGCUCCGAGCACAAGGGACCUAAAUGGGGAGAGGGAGGCACUCCCCCUUCGACCUCGGGGAGCUCCAUCUCACGGGGGUGAUCCGACUAGCAACUCCUGUGGAGAUGCCAAUAGCCACGGCUCCACUCGAUCGGAGUUUGCAGCAUUCCACAUCUUCAGCAGUUUUUAGAUGGGUGCUACAAGAUUUUGCACUGCUUCUUUGAUCCAAUAUGGAGGCAAAACGAGAAGGCAACAUUCUUGUUCAGAAGAGCACUUGUGAAUUUGAGUGUUCAAGAGAGAGUUGUACAUAUUUGUGUGCUACAGGGAAGCUAGUAAUUACUUGUGAUCAAAAGUUCAGUCCGACACAGGCGUGCAUGCCGUUAGGCAGGGACGCGGGAAACGGUUGUGCGCAAAAGCAUUCUCAUGUCAGCAUGCAGUUAUAUUUCUGUUUGGAUGCAUUGUUCUUGACAUAGUUCAAUUAUGUUUGUGUUUGGUUGCAUUAUGUGGUUCAUUGACGAAACUACACAAAACUUUAAAAAACUACAUCUUAAGUGGUUC